CUGUUCUCUUCGCUCUGCAAAAGCUAAGCGGCGAAGCAAGCUUCAUCCGAUUAACCUUUUUAUCUUUAAAUCACACACAUUCCGUCACAUGUUCCGGGUGCUGAGCAGAAGCUUGGUCGGAAUUAUGGGGGAUGUGGAGGCCUAACC
rnacentral:sRNA from 1 species